AUUGAACGCUGGCGGCAGGCCUAACACAUGCAAGUCGAGCGGCAGCGACUUAACUGAACCUUCGGGGAACGUUAAGGGCGGCGAGCGGCGGACGGGUGAGUAAUGCCUGGGAAUAUGCCCUGAUGUGGGGGAUAACUAUUGGAAACGAUAGCUAAUACCGCAUAAUCUCUUCGGAGCAAAGAGGGGGACCUUCGGGCCUCUCGCGUCAGGAUUAGCCCAGGUGGGAUUAGCUUGUUGGUGAGGUAAUGGCUCACCAAGGCAACGAUCCCUAGCUGGUCUGAGAGGAUGAUCAGCCACACUGGAACUGAGACACGGUCCAGACUCCUACGGGAGGCAGCAGUGGGGAAUAUUGCACAAUGGGGGAAACCCUGAUGCAGCCAUGCCGCGUGUGUGAAGAAGGCCUUCGGGUUGUAAAGCACUUUCAGUAGGGAGGAAGGUAGUGUAAUUAACACCUGCAUUAUUUGACGUUACCUACAGAAGAAGCACCGGCUAACUCCGUGCCAGCAGCCGCGGUAAUACGGAGGGUGCGAGCGUUAAUCGGAAUUACUGGGCGUAAGGCGCAUGCAGGCGGCCUGUUAAGUCAGAUGUGAAAGCCCGGGGCUUAACCUCGGAAUUGCAUUUGAAACUGGCAGGCUAGAGUCUUGCAGAGGGGGGUAGAAUUUCAGGUGUAGCGGUGAAAUGCGUAGAGAUCUGAAGGAAUACCAGUGGCGAAGGCGGCCCCCUGGACAAAGACUGACGCUCAGAUGCGAAAGCGUGGGGAGCAAACAGG
rnacentral:rRNA from 1 species